GAAGGAGUGGUGCAGUGGUUUGAACAUUGGACUAUGACUCUAAAGAUCAGGGUUUGAAACCCUGCUUGGCCA